CCCUUAGAUGUUCUGGGCUGCACGCGCGCUACACUGAAGCGUUCAACGAGUAUUCACCUUGCCCGGGAGGGUUGGGUAAUCUUUUCAAAACGCUUCGUGAUGGGGAUAGAUUAUUGCAAUUAUUAAUCUUCAACGAGGAAUUCCUAGUAAGCGCGAGUCAUCAGCUCGUGCUGAUUACGUCCCUGCCCUUUGUACACACCGCCCGUCGCACCUACCGAUUGAAUGGUCCGGUGAAAUCUUCGGAUUGAGACUUUGAUUUCUUCACGGAAAACGCCGUUUUAAAAAGUUGAUUAAACCUUACCAUUUAGAGGAAGGUGAAGUCGUAACA
rnacentral:rRNA from 1 species